UACGAAGGGGGCUAGCGUUGUUCGGAAUUACUGGGCGUAAAGCGCGCGCAGGCGGCUAUCCAAGUCAGUGGUGAAAGCCCGGAGCUCAACUCCGGAACUGCCAUUGAAACUGUUUAGCUUGAGGAUGAGAGAGGUGAGUGGAAUUCCCAGUGUAGAGGUGAAAUUCGUAGAUAUUGGGAAGAACACCGGUGGCGAAGGCGGCGACCUGGUCCGAUACUGACGCUGAGGCGCGAAAGCGUGGGGAGCAAACAGG
rnacentral:rRNA from 1 species